rnacentral:rRNA from 1 species
GGAGUGAACGCUGGCGGUAGGCCUAACACAUGCAAGUCGAACGGCAGCACAGUGGUAGCAAUACCAUGGGUGGCGAGUGGCGGACGGGUGAGGAAUACAUCGGAAUCUACCUUUUCGUGGGGGAUAACGUAGGGAAACUUACGCUAAUACCGCAUACGCCCUUCGGGGGAAAGCCGGGGAUCGCAAGACCUGGCGCGGAUAGAUGAGCCGAUGUCGGAUUAGCUAGUUGGUGAGGUAAUGGCUCACCAAGGCGACGAUCCGUAGCUGGUCUGAGAGGAUGAUCAGCCACACUGGAACUGAGACACGGUCAGACUCCUACGGGAGGCAGCAGUGGGGAAUAUUGGACAAGUGGGCGCAAGCCUGAUCCAGCCAUACCGCGUGGGUGAAGAAGGCCUUCGGUUGUAAAGUCCGUUUUUGUAGGUAAAGAAAGACUAAUCGGUUAAUACCGGUUUAGUU